AAAGAAUUCUACUCGUGCCCCUUCCCCACCUGAAAAGAACUCUAUUCCAACUGCCAGUUUCCUCACAUUCCAUUACCUUAAUAAUUCCACAGCCAUUUGCAUCACUCAGGU